rnacentral:rRNA from 1 species
GUGGGGAAUAUUGGACAAUGGGCGAAAGCCUGAUCCAGCCAUGCCGCGUGUGUGAAGAAGGUCUUCGGAUUGUAAAGCACUUUAAGUUGGGAGGAAGGGCAGUAAGUUAAUACCUUGCUGUUUUGACGUUACCAACAGAAUAAGCACCGGCUAACUUCGUGCCAGCAGCCGCGGUAAUACGAAGGGUGCAAGCGUUAAUCGGAAUUACUGGGCGUAAAGCGCGCGUAGGUGGUUUUGUAAGUUGGAGGUGAAAUCCCCGGGCUCAACCUGGGAACUGCCUCCAAAACUGCAUGACUAGAGUACGGUAGAGGGUAGUGGAAUUUCCUGUGUAGCGGUGAAAUGCGUAGAUAUAGGAAGGAACACCAGUGGCGAAGGCGACCACCUGGACUGAUACUGACACUGAGGUGCGAAAGCGUGGGGAGCAAACAGGAUUAGAAACCCUAGUAGUCC